CAUUCCUGCCUGGAACAGAUGCAGCUGCAGUGUGAAUGGAGAGCUAUCCUCAUAUGGCUGGGAGCACGCAAUGCUGGGCGAGUUAAGUGUCCUCAGGCACCCCUUCUCUCCUGCAGUAAAUUCACCUCAUGGAAUAAGAAGCUGCUGCUGCUGCUCCCAGCUGUGCUGCUGUCACUGUGCUGGUACAUUGUGAGUGCUAGAACACACGCCUUAAACAGCCAGAAAACUCCUGACCACAGUCUAAGACAACUAUUAAUAACAUGUUGCACUGCUAUUGUGAUUUAUUAAUGAAAGUUACUUUAAUUAUCACAUCCUUAAUGCUACUGAAAAUGGUGAAGUAUAUAUAAUUAUUUCUGUUAAAAAGAAAGGAAUAAUAAAACUCUAAAUUGCUGUUUUCUGUAA